rnacentral:ncRNA from 1 species
UUUAGAAAAAGGCAAACCUCUCGCGAGAGUGGGACGCAAAGCCUCCGAUCCCGUCAAAAAUGGGAUAGCGGGGUUGCCCGA